CUGUGGGGGAAGGAGAUCCUGGGAGGACGACACGCAGUCCAGCAGCGGAAGAAGAUGAGCGGCUGGUGCACUGGAAGCUACACAGUACAGAAGGCAAGAGGGCAAAGCCCUGGCCAAAAAAGCUGAGUGUCACGCUGGCAGUUGAGUGUCGUCAAGCUGGCACCUUGUGGUAGCCGCAGUAGACUAUGCUACACAGCAUGGCACUGCCAUCUUGGAGGCCAGAUGCAGAUAUGCUAUCUCUGGCUGCCUGCCCUAUAAAAGAUUGAAAACAGUGUUGUAUCUGUCUCUUUCUUGUACCAUUUUCUGUUAUGUUUUUGCUCUUAACACCACGUAACAAGGUAGCCCAACAGAAAACUACCAAUGUCAUUGAACUUGGGAAUUGUUAUGGACUUGGUGGGGAACUGUGGUU